rnacentral:lncRNA from 10 species
UUUACCUAAUCAAGCCUGGGCAAUGGCGGGUGCCCCUCCUCCAGCCUCGCUGCCGCCUUGCAGUUUGAUCUCAGACUGCUGUGCUAGCAAUCAGCGAGACUCCGUGGGCGUAGGACCCUCUGAGCCAGGUGUGGGAUAUAAUCUCGUGGUGCGCCGUUUUUUAAGCCCGUCGGAAAAGCACAGUAUUCGGGUGGGAGUGACCCGAUUUUCCAGUUUCAAACAUCUUCAAGGCAGAAACGUGUUGUAUUUGCAUGCUGUUUAGAAGGCAGUGUACUGAAUAGUACCAGUUUUUUCAGAGACAAAUAUGGUGUACUUAUUUGAAAAGAAAGGAUGAUACACAUACAUAGCCAUCCAAAAAAUCCUGCAACCAGUAGCAAAUUAUAUUACACAUUGGACACAUCCUAAAUGAUGCAAGGUUGCUAAUUCUCUCUGUUGGUAAUAUCUUUUGAUGCUGUUGUGUCCAGAAUUGAUUCAUUCCUGUGGGUUCUUGGUCUCACUGACUUCAAGAAUAAAGCUGCGGACCCUAGUGUUUCCUGAGGCCUCACUAGAAGCAAAUGCUGGUGCCGUACUUCUUGUACAGCCUGCAAAACUGUGAGUGAAAUAAACCUCUCAUCUUUAUAAAUUUCCCAGCCUCAGCUAUUUCUUUAUAACAACAUAAAACAGAUUAACACAGAUGCACAAUUUUUAAAAAUUUUAUAAGAAAAAAUUUGUCUCUUUUUUCUUGUGUUAUCUGUGCCUUUGGUAUCAUAUCUAAGAAAACACUGACAAAUCUAAUGUAGUAAAUCUUUUGCCCUAUAUUUUCUAGUAAGUUUUUUUUUAGUUUUAGGUCUUACGUAUAUACUUUUGAUCUAUUUUGAGUUAAUUCUUGUACAUGGCUUUAGAUAAAGAUCUAUCUCCAUUCUUUUGUAUGAGCAUAUCUGAUUUUCCCAGCACUAUUUUUUGAAAAGACCGCCUUUUCCCUAUUGCGUGGUUGGCAACCUUGCAAAAGAUUAUUUGACCAUAUAUAUGAGGCUUUAUUUCUGAGCUUUCUAUUCUAUUCCGUCUGUCUAUAUGUCUGUCUCUAUGCAGUACCACACUGUAUUGAUUACUGUGGAUUUGUAGUGAGUUAUAAAAUCUGGAAGUAUGAGUUUUCCACACUUCUUUUUCAAAAUUGAUUUGGAUAUUUGGCAUCACUUGAGAUUCCACUUG